GAUCCUACUGAAGGUUAAGUUCAUGUGCAGUGUUUCUGGAUUUAAGAAAAAAAAAUGUCUGCACAGUUUAACACAUACUGACAACCAAGAAAAUAAAGGAGAAAUGUAGAAAUAAUUGGACUGAAUACAUAUAUUUUUUAAUUUGUUCUGCUUCGUUCUUUCAGAAUGGAUGCUUCCAAGGUGGUGUUUGAAAUUUUUCUGGUCUCAAGGUCCAUAUGUCAGGAGCAUACAGACUAAUGAUGGACACUGUCAAGUUCAUUUCACAUUCUCCUCUGGCCAUGAGCUUCAUGAUCUGCUCUUUGUACAUAGGACAGAUACCAUGGCAUGAGCUUUGUGACCCGCUGUUUGUGCAUAGGAUAGACCCCGUGAUGGACACCGCCAAGCUCAUUUCACAUUCUCCUCUGGUCAUGAGCUUCGUGAUCUGCAAUUUGUGCAUAAGAUAGACACCGUGUGAUUACAGAGUGAGUGUUCAUCGUCUUUACAAGAUGUUCAUUGUAUUCAUAAGCAUAUUACUUACUUUUAUGAAAGCGCAUCCAUACCCAAAUGGUUAAAAUGGCAUGUGUAUGAAAUACCAUGUUUAAUAUAGUUUUCCAAAGUUAAGAAUAUUCUAUUGAAAGAGGUAAUCCGUGUGGCAAAAGAUCUCAGCGCACUCUCAAGUGUACUCAGGGGCAUUCUUCUUAGAUUUUUGUGAUAAAUUAAUGCCUAAAUAUUACUAGUGACCAAUCGAUCAGCAAAUACCUACAAAUUAAUGGAGAACUGGAGGGC
rnacentral:lncRNA from 1 species